UGCAGUCGAACGGUGAAGCCAAGCUUGCUUGGUGGAUCAGUGGCGAACGGGUGAGUAACACGUGAGCAACCUGCCCUGGACUCUGGGAUAAGCGCUGGAAACGGCGUCUAAUACUGGAUAUGAGCCCCUAUCGCAUGGUGGGGGUUGGAAAGAUUUUUUGGUCUGGGAUGGGCUCGCGGCCUAUCAGCUUGUUGGUGAGGUAAUGGCUCACCAAGGCGUCGACGGGUAGCCGGCCUGAGAGGGUGACCGGCCACACUGGGACUGAGACACGGCCCAGACUCCUACGGGAGGCAGCAGUGGGGAAUAUUGCACAAUGGGCGAAAGCCUGAUGCAGCAACGCCGCGUGAGGGAUGACGGCCUUCGGGUUGUAAACCUCUUUUAGCAGGGAAGAAGCGAAAAGUGACGGUACCUGCAGAAAAAGCGCCGGCUAACUACGUGCCAGCAGCCGCGGUAAUACGUAGGGCGCAAGCGUUAUCCGGAAUUAUUGGGCGUAAAGAGCUCGUAGGCGGUUUGUCGCGUCUGCUGUGAAAUCCCGAGGCUCAACCUCGGGCCUGCAGUGGGUACGGGCAGACUAGAGUGCGGUAGGGGAGAUUGGAAUUCCUGGUGUAGCGGUGGAAUGCGCAGAUAUCAGGAGGAACACCGAUGGCGAAGGCAGAUCUCUGGGCCGUAACUGACGCUGAGGAGCGAAAGGGUGGGGAGCAAACAGGCUUAGAUACCCUGGUAGUCCACCCCGUAAACGUUGGGAACUAGUUGUGGGGACCAUUCCACGGUUUCCGUGACGCAGCUAACGCAUUAAGUUCCCCGCCUGGGGAGUACGGCCGCAAGGCUAAAACUCAAAGGAAUUGACGGGGACCCGCACAAGCGGCGGAGCAUGCGGAUUAAUUCGAUGCAACGCGAAGAACCUUACCAAGGCUUGACAUAUACGAAAACGGGCCAGAAAUGGUCAACUCUUUGGACACUCGUAAACAGGUGGUGCAUGGUUGUCGUCAGCUCGUGUCGUGAGAUGUUGGGUUAAGUCCCGCAACGAGCGCAACCCUCGUUCUAUGUUGCCAGCACGUAAUGGUGGGAACUCAUGGGAUACUGCCGGGGUCAACUCGGAGGAAGGUGGGGAUGACGUCAAAUCAUCAUGCCCCUUAUGUCUUGGGCUUCACGCAUGCUACAAUGGCCGGUACAAAGGGCUGCAAUACCGUGAGGUGGAGCGAAUCCCAAAAAGCCGGUCCCAGUUCGGAUUGAGGUCUGCAACUCGACCUCAUGAAGUCGGAGUCGCUAGUAAUCGCAGAUCAGCAACGCUGCGGUGAAUACGUUCCCGGGUCUUGUACACACCGCCCGUCAAGUCAUGAAAGUCGGUAACACCUGAAGCCGGUGGCCCAACCCUUGUGGAGGGAGCCGU
rnacentral:rRNA from 1 species